GGGUUGUGAGGUUAAGCGACUAAGCGUACACGGUGGAUGCCCUGGCAGUCAGAGGCGAUGAAGGACGUGCUAAUCUGCGAUAAGCGCCGGUAAGGUGAUAUGAACCGUUAUAACCGGCGAUUUCCGAAUGGGGAAACCCAGUGUGAUUCGUCACACUAUCAUUAACUGAAUCCAUAGGUUAAUGAGGCGAACCGGGGGAACUGAAACAUCUAAGUACCCCGAGGAAAAGAAAUCAACCGAGAUUCCCCCAGUAGCGGCGAGCGAACGGGGAGGAGCCCAGAGCCUGAAUCAGCAUGUGUGUUAGUGGAAGCGUCUGGAAAGGCGCGCGAUACAGGGUGACAGCCCCGUACACAAAAGCGCAUGUGCUGUGAGCUCGAUGAGUAGGGCGGGACACGUGGUAUCCUGUCUGAAUAUGGGGGGACCAUCCUCCAAGGCUAAAUACUCCUGACUGACCGAUAGUGAACCAGUACCGUGAGGGAAAGGCGAAAAGAACCCCGGCGAGGGGAGUGAAAAAGAACCUGAAACCGUGUACGUACAAGCAGUGGGAGCCCCACCACUAAGCCAGUGGUGAACUCUACAUACGCAUCCUUUGCUGAGGAUACGGUUAACGGAGCGAAAGCGACGUUCAACCUCAAAAGAAGCAGAGGGGGCUUAGUGGUGGGGUGACUGCGUACCUUUUGUAUAAUGGGUCAGCGACUUAUAUUCUGUAGCAAGGUUAACCGUAUAGGGGAGCCGUAGGGAAACCGAGUCUUAACCGGGCGUUAAGUUGCAGGGUAUAGACCCGAAACCCGGUGAUCUAGCCAUGGGCAGGUUGAAGGUUGGGUAACACUAACUGGAGGACCGAACCGACUAAUGUUGAAAAAUUAGCGGAUGACCUGUGGCUGGGGGUGAAAGGCCAAUCAAACCGGGAGAUAGCUGGUUCUCCCCGAAAGCUAUUUAGGUAGCGCCUCGUGAAUUCAUCUCCGGGGGUAGAGCACUGUUUCGGCUAGGGGGCCAUCCCGGCUUACCAACCCGAUGCAAACUGCGAAUACCGGAGAAUGUUAUCACGGGAGACACACGGCGGGUGCUAACGUCCGUCGUGAAGAGGGAAACAACCCAGACCGCCAGCUAAGGUCCCAAAGUCAUGGUUAAGUGGGAAACGAUGUGGGAAGGCCCAGACAGCCAGGAUGUUGGCUUAGAAGCAGCCAUCAUUUAAAGAAAGCGUAAUAGCUCACUGGUCGAGUCGGCCUGCGCGGAAGAUGUAACGGGGCUAAACCAUGCACCGAAGCUGCGGCAGCGACACUGUGUGUUGUUGGGUAGGGGAGCGUUCUGUAAGCCUGUGAAGGUGUGUCGUGAGGCAUGCUGGAGGUAUCAGAAGUGCGAAUGCUGACAUAAGUAACGAUAAAGCGGGUGAAAAGCCCGCUCGCCGGAAGACCAAGGGUUCCUGUCCAACGUUAAUCGGGGCAGGGUGAGUCGACCCCUAAGGCGAGGCCGAAAGGCGUAGUCGAUGGGAAACGGGUUAAUAUUCCCGUACUUGGUGUUACUGCGAAGGGGGACGGAGAAGGCUAUGUUGGCCGGGCGACGGUUGUCCCGGUUUAAGCGUGUAGGUGUGUGUUCCAGGUAAAUCCGGUUCACUUUAACACUGAGGCGUGACGACGAGGCACUACGGUGCUGAAGCAACAAAUGCCCUGCUUCCAGGAAAAGCCUCUAAGCAUCAGGUAACAUCAAAUCGUACCCCAAACCGACACAGGUGGUCAGGUAGAGAAUACCAAGGCGCUUGAGAGAACUCGGGUGAAGGAACUAGGCAAAAUGGUGCCGUAACUUCGGGAGAAGGCACGCUGACACGUAGGUGAAGUGAUUUACUCAUGGAGCUGAAGUCAGUCGAAGAUACCAGCUGGCUGCAACUGUUUAUUAAAAACACAGCACUGUGCAAACACGAAAGUGGACGUAUACGGUGUGACGCCUGCCCGGUGCCGGAAGGUUAAUUGAUGGGGUCAGCGCAAGCGAAGCUCCUGAUCGAAGCCCCGGUAAACGGCGGCCGUAACUAUAACGGUCCUAAGGUAGCGAAAUUCCUUGUCGGGUAAGUUCCGACCUGCACGAAUGGCGUAAUGAUGGCCAGGCUGUCUCCACCCGAGACUCAGUGAAAUUGAACUCGCUGUGAAGAUGCAGUGUACCCGCGGCAAGACGGAAAGACCCCGUGAACCUUUACUAUAGCUUGACACUGAACAUUGAGCCUUGAUGUGUAGGAUAGGUGGGAGGCUUUGAAGUGUGGACGCCAGUCUGCAUGGAGCCGACCUUGAAAUACCACCCUUUAAUGUUUGAUGUUCUAACGUGGACCCGUUACCCGGGUUGCGGACAGUGUCUGGUGGGUAGUUUGACUGGGGCGGUCUCCUCCUAAAGAGUAACGGAGGAGCACGAAGGUUGGCUAAUCCUGGUCGGACAUCAGGAGGUUAGUGCAAUGGCAUAAGCCAGCUUGACUGCGAGCGUGACGGCGCGAGCAGGUGCGAAAGCAGGUCAUAGUGAUCCGGUGGUUCUGAAUGGAAGGGCCAUCGCUCAACGGAUAAAAGGUACUCCGGGGAUAACAGGCUGAUACCGCCCAAGAGUUCAUAUCGACGGCGGUGUUUGGCACCUCGAUGUCGGCUCAUCACAUCCUGGGGCUGAAGUAGGUCCCAAGGGUAUGGCUGUUCGCCAUUUAAAGUGGUACGCGAGCUGGGUUUAGAACGUCGUGAGACAGUUCGGUCCCUAUCUGCCGUGGGCGCUGGAGAACUGAGGGGGGCUGCUCCUAGUACGAGAGGACCGGAGUGGACGCAUCACUGGUGUUCGGGUUGUCAUGCCAAUGGCACUGCCCGGUAGCUAAAUGCGGAAGAGAUAAGUGCUGAAAGCAUCUAAGCACGAAACUUGCCCCGAGAUGAGUUCUCCCUGAGACUUUAGGUCUCCUGAAGGAACGUUGAAGACGACGACGUUGAUAGGCCGGGUGUGUAAGCGCAGCGAUGCGUUGAGCUAACCGGUACUAAUGAACCGUGAGGCUUAACCUUACAACGCCGAAG
rnacentral:rRNA from 1 species